GGAUAUUGUGCUGGUGGUUGCUCAGCAAUUGCAGACUCUGGGACAUCAUUGUUGGCAGGCCCUACAAUUGUGAUUACAAUGAUAAAUCAUGCCAUUGGAGCCUUUGGAGUUGUUAGCCAAGAAUGCAAGGCAGUUGUUGAACAAUAUGGACAAAAGCUUUUGGAUCUACUUCUAGCUGAGUUAAAAGAUUCUUCUUGGUGAGGUUGAGAGUUGGCGUGGAGCAGCCUGAAAUCUGAGCUAAUUUGGAAAUUAGGUGGUUUUGGACUGAGAUUUGGUUGUUUGAGUGCUUUUUUUUGAAGUGGGUAUGUCUUAUUUGGAGUGGUUUUAGGGUUUAAUUUCAUGGGAUCAGAGGUGGGUUUGUGAAAGAUAUUAACUUUUUGAAGCUACUGGUAGAUUCUGGGGGAAGGUUUUUGGUGCAGAUUGGUCAGUUUAGUCACUGAAGAAGCUACAUUUUGAAAAUUUUUAAUUUGGUUUGAGGAAUUUGGGUUGGUUUUCAGAGGUUUUUGUGGGUGAUUUGGCUUGAGAGUGGUGCUUUGAAGGUACUAAUUAACUGGGGGUGUGGGUUUUUUGGCUUGGUUUUGGUGUUUUAGUUUGAGACAGGGAUUUAAGAGGCUGUUUUGGGGGGUUCUUCUUUUGCUCAGCUCUUUAUUUGAAGCUCAGUUGUCAACAAUUUUUCAGCUUGCAUUGUGAAAAAAAUUAUGGCUUGUAUGAAACUGGGAUCUAAAACUGAUGCCUUUGAACGUGAAGUGC